UGGACAGCGGCGGACGGGUGAGUAACGCGUGGGCAACCUGCCCUUCACUGAGGGAUAGCCGUGGGAAACCGCGAAUAAUACCUCAUAACGCAUGACUGUCACAUGGCAGACAUGCCAAAGAUUCAUCGGUGAAGGAUGGGCCCGCGUCUGAUUAGCUUGUUGGUGAGGCAGCGGCUCACCAAGGCGACGAUCGGUAGCCGGCCUGAGAGGGUGAACGGCCACAUUGGAACUGAGACACGGUCCAGACUCCUACGGGAGGCAGCAGUGGGGAAUAUUGCACAAUGGAGGAAACUCUGAUGCAGCAACGCCGCGUGAAGGAUGAAGGCCUUCGGGUCGUAAACUUCUGUCCCUGGGGAAGAAGAAAUGACGGUACCCAAGGAGGAAGCCCCGGCUAACUACGUGCCAGCAGCCGCGGUAAUACGUAGGGGGCGAGCGUUAUCCGGAAUUACUGGGCGUAAAGCGUACGUAGGCGGCUGCGUAAGCGCGGGGUCUAAGGCUACGGCUUAACCGUAGUUCGCCCCGCGAACUGCGCGGCUUGAGUACAGGAGGGGAAGGCGGAAUUCCUAGUGUAGCGGUGAAAUGCGUAGAUAUUAGGAGGAACACCAGUGGCGAAGGCGGCCUUCUGGACUGAAACUGACGCUGAGGUACGAAAGCAUGGGUAGCAAACAGGAUUAGAUACCCUGGUAGUCCAUGCCGUAAACGAUGAGCACUAGGUGUCGGGUCCGCAAGGAUUCGGUGCCGCAGCUAACGCAUUAAGUGCUCCGCCUGGGGAGUACGCACGCAAGUGUAAAACUCAAAGGAAUUGACGGGGACCCGCACAAGCAGCGGAGCAUGUGGUUUAAUUCGAAGCAACGCGAAGAACCUUACCAGGGCUUGACAUCCUCCUGAAAUGCCGGGUAACGCCGGAACUC
rnacentral:rRNA from 1 species